AGAAUGAACGCUGGCGGCGUGCUUUACACAUGCAAGUCGAGCGAGGCGGGUAGCAAUACCCAGUCGAGCGGCGAACGGGUGAGUAACGCGUGGAUGACCUGCCUUGAGGUGGGGGAUAACUCGGGGAAACUCGAGCUAAUACCGCAUAUGACCGUGAGGUCAAAGGGGGCGCAAGCUCCCGCCAUGAGAGGGGUCCGCGUCCGAUUAGCUAGUUGGUGGGGUAAUGGCCUACCAAGGCGACGAUCGGUAGCCGGCCUGAGAGGGUGAUCGGCCACACUGGAACUGAGACACGGUCCAGACUCCUACGGGAGGCAGCAGUGGGAAUUUGCGCAAUGGGCUAACGCCUGACGCAGCAACGCCGCGUGGAGGAUGAAGGUCUUUGGAUUGUAAACUUCCUGUCAGACGAAGGGAAAAAGGAAGUAGAACCUAAGUACGUACACUGACUUGAUUGUACCUGCAGAGGAACGCCCCGGUACUAACCGUCUACGUCGACCGAGUACCACGGCCGACGGUAACUCGUAGA
rnacentral:rRNA from 1 species